CCUACGGGCGGCAGCAGUGAGGAAUAUUGGUCAAUGGGCGCAAGCCUGAACCAGCCAAGUAGCGUGCAGGAUGACUGCCCUCCGGGUUGUAAACUUCUUUUAUAAAGGAAUAAAGUGAGGCACGUGAGCCUUUUUUUAUGUGUUUUAUGAAUAAGAGUCGGCUAACUCCGUGCCAGCAGCCGCGGUAAUACGGAGGAUCCGCGCGUUAUCCGGAUUUAUUGGGUUUAAAGGGAGCGUAGAUGGGUUGUUAAGUCAGCUGUGAAAGUUUGCGGCUCAACCGUAAAAUUGCAAUUGAUACUGGCAGCCUUGAGUACAGUUGAGGUAGGCGGAAUUCGUGGUGUAGCGGUGAAAUGCUUAGAUAUCAUGAAGAACUCCGAUUGCGAAGGCA
rnacentral:rRNA from 1 species